rnacentral:rRNA from 1 species
ACCUCUGCAAUAAGCGAAAGCUUGACAGGGUUACUCUGAGUGAUUUCCGCUAAGGAAGUCUUUUGGCACCUCUAAAAAUGGUGCAGAAUAAGGGGUGGGCAAGUCUGGUGUCAGCCGCCGCGGUAAUACCAGCACCCCGAGUGGUCGGGACGAUUAUUGGGCCUAAAGCAUCCGUAGCCGGUCCUGCAAGUCCUCCGUUAAAUCCACCCGCUCAACGGUUGGGCCGCGGGGGAUACUACAGGGCUAGGAGGCGGGAGAGGCAAGCGGUACUCGAUGGGUAGGGGUAAAAUCCACUGAUCCAUUGAAGACCACCAGUGGCGAAGGCGGCCUGCCAGAACGCGCUCGGCGGUGAGGGAUGAAAGCUGGGGGAGCAAACCGGAUUAGAUACCCGGGUAGUCCCAGCUGUAAACGAUGCAGACUCGGUGAUGGGCUGGCUUCGUGCCAACCCGGUGCCGCAGGGAAGCCGUUAAGUCUGCCGCCUGGGGAGUACGGUCGCAAGACUGAAACUUAA